rnacentral:rRNA from 1 species
GACGAACGCUGGCGGCGUGCUUAACACAUGCAAGUCGAACGGAAAGGCCCUGCUUUUGUGGGGUGCUCGAGUGGCGAACGGGUGAGUAACACGUGAGUAACCUGCCCUUGACUUUGGGAUAACUUCAGGAAACUGGGGCUAAUACUGGAUAGGAGCUCCUGCUGCAUGGUGGGGGUUGGAAAGUUUCGGCGGUUGGGGAUGGACUCGCGGCUUAUCAGCUUGUUGGUGGGGUAGUGGCUUACCAAGGCUUUGACGGGUAGCCGGCCUGAGAGGGUGACCGGCCACAUUGGGACUGAGAUACGGCCCAGACUCCUACGGGAGGCAGCAGUGGGGAAUAUUGCACAAUGGGCGGAAGCCUGAUGCAGCAACGCCGCGUGCGGGAUGACGGCCUUCGGGUUGUAAACCGCUUUCGCCUGUGACGAAGCGUGAGUGACGGUAAUGGGUAAAGAAGCACCGGCUAACUACGUG